rnacentral:ncRNA from 1 species
GGUUCCCUCCGAAGUUUCCCUCAGGAUAGCUGGAGCCCAUUACGAGUUCUAUCAGGUAAAGCCAAUGAUUAGAGGCAUUGGGGACGCAACGUCCUCGACCUAUUCUCAAACUUUAAAUAGGUAGACUGGCUCGGCUGCUUCGGUGAGCCGUGCCACGGAAUCGGGUGCUCCAAGUGGGCCAUUUUUGGUAAGCAGAACUGGCGAUGCGGGAUGAACCGGAAGCCGGGUUACGGUGCCCAACUGCGCGCUAACCUAGAACCCACAAAGG